rnacentral:lncRNA from 1 species
UUUGGUUUUGUCUAAGCUUUUUAUUUCUUGGUUGUUUAGUUUAACGACUUUGUGGUCGUUUGAUUUGAUUGUUUAGUUUAAAGACUUUGCGGUCGUAGGUUGUAUUUGUGGACUUUGGGUUUUGGGUUUUAUUUGUGGACUUUGGGUUUUGGGUUUUCUUGUGGACUUUGGAGUUUUGGGUUUUAUUAUGGACUUUGAAUUUUUGGGUUUUAUUUGUGAACUUUGGUAUUCAAGUUGAAUCUUUUACUGUUCGAUUCGAUUCGAAUUCAUUUCAGUUUAAGUCAAAUCCUUUAUGAUUUGGUUCAGACUGGAUCCGGUUCGGUUCGGUUCGGAUCGGAUC